AACGAACGCUGGCGGCAGGCUUAACACAUGCAAGUCGAGCGCGUGUAGCAAUACACGAGCGGCGCACGGGUGAGUAACGCGUGGAUAUCUGCCUUUUGGUUCGGAAUAACCCCGGGAAACUGGGGCUAAUACCGGAUGGUUCCUACGGGAUAAAGAUUUAUCGCCAAAAGAUGAGUCCGCGUCCGAUUAGCUAGUUGGUGAGGUAACGGCUCACCAAGACGACGACCGGUAGCUGGUCUGAAAGGACGAUCAGCCACACUGGGACUGAGACACGGCCCAGACUCCUACGGGAGGCAGCAGUGGGGAAUAUUGGACAAUGGGGGCAACCCUGAUCCAGCCAUGCCGCGUGAGUGAUGAAGGCCUUCGGGUUGUAAAGCUCUUUUGGCGGGGAUGAUGAUGACGGUACCCGCAGAAUAAGCCCCGGCUAACUUCGUGCCAGCCGCCGCGGUAA
rnacentral:rRNA from 1 species